CCCACUCCUUGUGAAGCCGGUGGGACAGACCAUUCUCCACGGGCGGGGCUCGCGGGCCUCCGGUUCCCAGCCGGCCCGGCACUUGGUCCCCAUUUCCCCUGCGACAAAGACCAGAUGGAGAGGACACUUGAACUAGCCAGUGAGGGCAGUUGGCAGAUCUGCCCGAGUACCCCCGCCCUGCACCCCAAGGCUCGCAGCUCGGCCCGGAGUCCAGGCCCGGCGGGUGCGGAGCCGCCCAGCAGCUGUCCCCAAGACAGCGUCCCGGAUCCCCCUGGAAUGUGCCCGACUGCUCACUCGAAUCUCAGAGGAAGUCCUCCCCUGUCUCCCCCUGCGCUUCCUCUGCACACACAGGGGAGAGUCAGCGCGGAGCCCCGUGGACCAACGUGGGAAACAGAACCGUUCCAAGCCAUCUUUGGAGACUCCCUGCACCUCGCAGGACAGACUUUUCUCCAGCCACCUUCAGGAGAGAUCUGCUCUGUUCGUCAGACUGCCACAUUCCGUGAUACCCGCGAGCCUCCAGCCUGCCCGCAUCCGCAGCUGAAGAAACGGUGGGGAUCGUAAGGCUCAUUUGAUCAGCUAAAGCUGCGUUCGGGGAGGAGCAGGCGUGUGUGGGUCACCCGAGGCCGGCGCUGAGCACCCACCCUCGCCCUCGCGCGUCUCCCUGGGCUCCCUGCCCCCUCCUCUGCCCAGCCUAGCGCCGCAUUCCCUGGGGACGAGGCAGGGAUUGAGGGAGAACCUAAGGAGUAGCAGACACCGGGGCUGUGGCAGGUGGACCUGCCCACCUCCACUUCUGCAGUCCCCUGGGCACGGACCCUCCCGCCACCGCCAUCUUCCUGGCUGCCUCUUUCCCACUGCUGUCAUCUGCCUCUUCUCACCCCGGUCCACUGGGAAACACGCUCAGGGGCUCCUCUUCCUUCCUCACUAAGAAGCAUGCACAACCUCUCUGGAGGGUUGUAUGUUUUAAACCUCCCAAUAUUCAUGGGGAAAAGUAUGCCAAAAAACAAAUAAAACAAAAAACAAGCAGAGGAGUGUCAAAAAGCCUCAAGGACAUGCUGUCUCGGGUGUCCUUGGCCUGUGCUUCCUCCCCAACCCCACCCCCUUCAGGCCUUCUCCUUGUCCCCCAUGUGGGUCCAGGGGACCUGCCCUUCUGCCACAUGGUACCAGUGAGGAAGGGCUGGGAUUGUCUCAGCAAAUGUGGCAUGGAAGUGACUGAGCCUGCUGGACAGCCCAAGUCCAAGUCCUCGAGUCAUAGGGAGUCUAGCCUGGACACCCAUCAGGCACCCCCCAUGUCCUAAGAAACUGUCACCAAGCAUUGCAUCGGUUCAAAGGGAGCUACUAGGCCUCUGAUUUUCCAGUACAUGGAUUUUAACUCCUGUCACUCCAUCAGUGGAAUAUUUCUUUCUGAAAAUCUGCUGAGUGCCCUGCACACUGAAAUUGAGAAGCACAAGUCAAAUAAAGAGGAAGAAAUGGGGAAAGCACCUGGUAGGUGGCAGAAGGCCAGCACGCACUGUGUGGCCUGCUGCGUGGCCUUGGGCAAGGCCCUCACCUCCUCUGGGUUUCACACCCUUGCUGACUACCUUAGUCACUCAGCCUGCCGUAAUAGAACCCCAUAAUCUGGAUGGCUUAAACCUCAGACAUUUCUUUCUCACAGUUCUGGAAGCUGGGAAGCCUGAGAUCCAAGUGUCAGCAGAUUUGGCACCUGGUAAGGGCCCUUCUCCUGGCUGGAGUCUCCUCACUGCGUCUUCCUGUGACAGACAGAGUUCCGGGCCUCUUUCUCUUCUUACCAGGGCACUGACCCAUCUUGAGGGCCCCAUCCUCAUGACCUCAUCUAAACAUAAUCACCUCCCAAAGGCACUACCUCCUAAUUCCAUCCCAUUGCAGGUUAGGGUUUCAACAUAUGAAUACUGGGGGACACAAACAUUCAGUCCGUAGCACCUUUAUAAACAAGAGCAGUGGCCUGGACGUUCUCAGGACUGCAGUGCUGGACGGUGCUUCUGUACUCACCGGGAUCACAGCCCAGCGUGGCCCAGGGCCCAGCACUCGCAUAUUAACUGCCCUACUUUCAUUCCUAAAGCUCGCUUGCUGCUACUCUUAGUCCCCAAAGCACCUGGAUGGCAGUCUCCAGAGCCCCAGGCCCAGGUGGGAUUUGGGAGAGCCAGCUCUAGACCUCUCCUUAGUUUCCUAUUGUUAUUAUCUCAGCCUGAAAUACAGCCUAAAAUCCCCUGGAUACCCCUCAGAGUGUGGCUGUGGCUGCCUGUUAUCAAGAAAUGAGCCCCAAGAGCAGACAAUCGAUACCCACCCACUUCUCAUGUGGCAUUUGGAGGAGCUGCAGGUCCAGCUGCACAGGAUAAAGGCCAGAUGGCUUCCCCCCACCCCCACCCGGCCCCCGGCAUGGGAGGAGGAAGCGGCUGUCUCCCUGCAGCUAGCUGUGAGCACCUGUAAUUCACAAACUCCCAUGUGUCCUGGAAACACCAGCCAAUGAGGUCCCCAAGCAACCUGGCAGGCUAGUUUGGGGCACUCAGCCCUGAUCAGUUCUUGUGCUGACUCAUCCUCUGCAGUUGAUGGAGUUAGGGAUGUGAGGUUCUGCCUCACCACCCAGGGACAGGGGGCUCUUGUCAGCUCCGUAGACACCUAUCUGCGUGUGUUCAGGGAUGUGCAGGAUCGCUGGCCCCAUGGCCACUGAAGAGCUUGCCAGCAACACUCGGAUCCUCCCAGGACAGCCUCCAGCCCAGGCAGUCACCAAACUCUGUGGCAAAAAUCUCCAGGUCUCAAGGGCCGAUGAGGAUGCUGCACGCAGCCACUGCCACCUGCCUCUGGCUGGGGAUGGCACAGGGAAUAGAAUGGCAGGCAGGAACACCAGAGCAUGGUGGUCCAGAGUGGGCUUCAGGACCCAUCAGUCCUGGGUUCAAAUAUCAGUUAGCAGAUGCAGGCAGGUCUGUUACAAGGCAGGUCACCCAAGCUCACCGAGUCUCAGAUCCCUCCACUGCAAGAUGAUGUCAAUGGCUCCUCUUUAAAGAAUCCCGCUGAUGCCGGAAUGAGGUAGUAUAUUCAGCAUCUCCACUGGCGUCCGGCCAUGAUGGGCUCUCAGAAAUGGGUGUUAAGACUACCACCAUCCUGCCGAGGAGGAGAUGGGAUCUUUAUGCAGGAAGCCUUCAACUGUGGACUACAGCUCUCCAGAACUGGUGCGCCAGGCUCUUUCCGCCGCAUCUCCAGUGAACUCUACUGCCUCUCCGUCUUCAUCGGCGUGAGUGAAAGUGGCUUUCUGCUCCGUGAGGGUUUAAGCCAGAAAUAACACAUUGAUUGCAGCCACCCCUGAACUCCACAGACAGGACACCGCCCAUCUCAGCACACAAUCUCUGAAGUCAGGAGAGAGUUUCCUUCUUGAAACAGUGGCCUUCCUUGUCCAUCAAUUUAAAAAACAAUAUAGCAUCAGCUAUGCCAAAUGUGCAGUUCAGUGCAAACUUGCUCUGAGUCCACACACGCAUUUUUCCAGACGCAGUUAAAUGCAACCAAGCAGAGACCCACAGUGGAGCUAGCCCUGGACUCCCUGUUCCUGCUCCGCCCGCCGCCCUGCCCUGAGCCCCUUCGUCGCUGACACACAGGGCCACAGCAGCCCCACUGACCACCUCAUGCGCCACUCAGUCCCUUUCGGGCACCAGGCCUUGGCCUUGAUUUGCCUGCUCCACGGCAUUGGAAGUGAGUGGGCUGCAGGAGGCAGAGACAUAGGAUCAGCUGCAGAGAAUUAUGGCUGCAGCCCUGGGGGACAUCGUAGUGUGACAUUGCAGCAUGUGGGAUUCAGAUGACAAAAGCAGAUCCCCAUCUUGGGGCAGUGGGAUCUCCUGUAGGGAUUUAUAAAAUCACAUCUUUGGACUCAACCUGAGAGAUUUCCACCCAAUUUUGACCCAGUCUUCUCUAGGGGUGAAUAACGGUAUCUGCAUUUAACAAAGGUUCAUAAGUGAUUCCGCUGCAGAGCAAAGAAUGAAACCACCAGAUGGGAUCAUGGGAACAAUUAAUUGUCUGUAAUGAUAUGAGUCAACGAGCGGUAUUUCUCCUGCUUCCUGGGAGCAGAGCGAUGGACUCGUGACACUUGGGUGCUUUAAUAGUACAGAUUUUUCCUUAUUCAUACCCAGUGUUAUUUAGAGCAGAGCUGAACCUGAGACACCCAAAGUGUGAAUCACCUUCUAAAUACAGCUCAUGUCAUUUCAGAUAAAAAUCAUAUAGUCGUAGAAUCUGAGGGUUAUAAGAUAUCUUACAGGUCAUCUGGGUAACUUCUCUCUGUUCAAUUCCUGAGUGUCAUCUCCAAUAUCUCCUUCAAUUCAUCUUACACUCUUUACUGAAAUCUCUUAAAUGAACUAUUUGAUAAUAAGUAAAUUGCACCUCCUGUGAAAAAAAAAAUGUGGAUUCCACAGUGGGAUCUACAGCCCACUCCUUGCUGGGAGUGAGAACCUGCCACACAGUGCCUUCUUCCAGUCCCCGGCCCCCCGCACUCCAAAGCUGGCUGUCCCUGUGAGCACACUGCCUCUGCUACAGACUCAACUCUGCCCUUCCUACCUGUUGGGGUGUGGCCUACGCCUCCUCUGCCCACGUUGUGAUGCAGCAGACAGUGCAGUCUGAAAACAGGAGCUGAGCAUCUGCUUCUGCCUGGAGCCCUUACAGUCAUCGUCAGCCUAUCAGUCAGCCGGCCUCUCUCCCAGCCCCACCUGCCACAUUGAAAGAACAGCUUCUAAAUACAGCCUGGGAUCCUGGAUUAAAUCCUCAAACCAAAAAGAGAUAUUAAUGGAAAAACUGAUGAAAUCCAAAUAAAGUUCAGUUCAUGGCAAUGUGCCCAAGUCAAUCUCUUAGUUUUGACCAACGUACUACAAUUAUCCAAAAUAGUAACAUUA